rnacentral:rRNA from 1 species
GACGAACGCUGGCGGCGUGCUUAACACAUGCAAGUCGAGCGGAAAGGCCCUUUCGGGGGUACUCGAGCGGCGAACGGGUGAGUAACACGUGAGUAAUCUGCCCUGCGCUCUGGGAUAGCCACCGGAAACGGUGAUUAAUACCGGAUAUGACCGCUACACGCAUGUGUUGGUGGUGGAAAGUUUUUCGGCGCAGGAUGUGCUCGCGGCCUAUCAGCUUGUUGGUGAGGUAAUGGCUCACCAAGGCUUUGACGGGUAGCCGGCCUGAGAGGGUGACCGGUCACACUGGGACUGAGACACGGCCCAGACUCCUACGGGAGGCAGCAGUGGGGAAUAUUGGACAAUGGGCGGAAGCCUGAUCCAGCAACGCCGCGUGAGGGAUGACGGCCUUCGGGUUGUAAACCUCUUUCAGUACCGACGAAGCGAGAGUGACGGUAGGUACAGAAGAAGGACCGGCCAACUACGUGCCAGCCGCCGCGGUAAGAC